rnacentral:lncRNA from 1 species
AUAGAAUAACUUACCUUGUUGUUGCUUAUGUUGCUUGAAACCUUGUGAGCCUAGCACCCCAAGUGUGAUGCCUCAAAUGCUUCACACAACACCAAAUGCUCUUGGAAAGACUUUGAGAGAAUACACACUUCUUGAAAUCGGCCUAGCCCUUUAGUUUCUUAUGUGUAGCCGAUUUUGUGGAGAAUGGGAUUCAUAUAUAGUGUUGACACAUCUAGGGUUACACCAUGUAAACCCUAAUGUGUCAUGACUCUUCAUUUCCAUGACCCAUAGGUUUGUAAAUCCCAUGGAGCAUCCAUGGAGCAUCAAAUGGGUAGAACCCAACAUGGAGCCUCUUAGCCCACUAUACAAGAUAUGAAUGAUUUACAUAAUCAACCAUUAUAUUUAAUUAGUUAUCUUUUGAUCACUUAAUUAAUUCCAAAUUAAUUCUUUGAUCAAACUAAUCAAAUAAUAUUAUUAAUAUAUUAGAACUUAUAAUAUAUUAAUAAUCUCCAAGUGUUAUUCCUCUCAUUUAGUCUAUCCAAUUGCAUGGUGCCAUGCAACCCAAAUGGACCAUGCCGGGUCGGGUCAAGUACAAACCAGAAAUAGUUAUGGACUUAGACACCUUAUCCAACAGUCUCCCACUUGGAUAAGUCUAAUAACUAUAUCUCUAGUACUUCAGGAACCGACCGGCAAUCGUAGCUCUUUCAAGGUCUCUCGGAACUGAGAAGAUGAUGGUACGCCAUUUAAGAUAAGUGAUCAUAUAAUCCUCCGUUCUAGAUAUCAGCCGGACAAAUACAUGGAACAAUGUCUUACUUAUUGUCCAGCAGUUUGUUUCCCGAUUUCCGAUUUGUUUGACAAAGAACUUAAUUGAACACAUCAACUUAGUUCUGACCGGGCCCGGUACAUAGGUCAAAACAAAAUCAUCGAGGGGCCCAGAUAUCAGCUUCUAAUCCAAGAAGGAACAGAUAAACUUCGACUCAUAUGUUUGUUCUACCACUCAUUGAAUUACACACAAAAGUACGUUUUAUAACAUCGAGUUACCAAUGCGGUUUCGUACAGUCAAUGCAUAACCAACUUGUAAGUAACAAAUCAUAUCUCUAGGUUUGAAGACUUAUAUGAUAUUACCGUCUCACGAUCACUCGAGAUAGAAUUCCAUGAAGUGAUUCCAGUGAGCGUGGGUUGAGUCCAAUGCUCAGAACUUAUGAGCACUCAUGAUUGUUGUAGCCUUGUCCAACACCUUAGACCUCUACAACCCAUCAUGACAGUCUUGAUUCAUACCUACUUCCGACAUAUGACCGACUGUGGAGGUUUGAAUAAUAUGUUAUACCAAACAAAAUUAUUCUGGAAGUCAAAACAUGCAAAAGAAAUAUAGUAAACGAUCGACAAGAGAUAGCAACACUUUACUCAUAAAUAAAACACCUUUUAUUCAUCAUCAAAUGUCAAUUACACUUUACAAAUUUCUGGGUUAUCUAACUACUAAAACUUAUAUCAUCCUUCAGCCCUAUGCUCCGAGCAUGCUGGAGAUGCUUAACCCUACUCAGUCCCUUCGUGAGGGGAUCUGCUGGGUUCUCAUCCGAUGAUACCCUCUUUGCCACGAGGAGUCCUUCUUCGAUCCGAUGUCUAAUGAAAUGGUAUUUUCUGUCGAUGUGUCUGGAUCUCCCAUGAUCCCUUGGUUCCUUGGCUAAGGCAACAGCACUUUCACUAUCACAGAAAAUUUCCAUUGGCUCUUUAAUAGCUGGUACAACUCCAAGGUCUCCAAUGAAGUUCUUCAGCCAUAUCGCCUCCUUUGCUGCUUCACUAGCUGCAAUAUACUCUGAUUCACAAGUAGAAUCUGCCACUGUCUCUUGCUUGGAACUCUUCCAAGAAAUUGCUCCUCCGUUUAGGGUAAAGACCCAGCCCGACUGAGAGCGGAAAUUAUCCCUAUCAGUCUGGAAGCUAGCAUCACUAUACCCUACAACUCUCAAGUCAUCACUCCCACCGAGGGUAAGGACCCAGUCCUUAGUCCUCCGUAGGUACUUGAGGAUAUUCUUUACCGCAGUCCAGUGUGCCUUGCCAGGGUUCGCCUGAUACCUGCUAACCAUGCUCAAGGCAAAAGCUACAUCGGGUCGAGUACACGUCAUAGCAUACAUGAUCGAUCCUACAGCCGAAGCGUAAGGUGUUCGACUCAUUUCUGCUAUCUCAGCCUCAGUGCUAGGGCUUUGUGUCUUACUCAAUCUGGUGUUACUCUGGAUGGGUAACUCUCCUUUCUUGGAAUCCUGCAUGCUGAAUCUCUUCAGCACCUUAUCCAAGUAGGUACUCUGACUAAGUCCAAUUAGUCUUUUACUCCGAUCUCUCAAGAUUCUUAUCCCUAGAAUAUAGGCAGCUUCACCAAGGUCCUUCAUAGCGAAACACUUCCCAAGCCAGGACUUUACUUCCUGCAGGGUUGGAAUGUCGUUUCCUAUGAGUAGUAUGUCAUCCACAUACAAUACCAAAAAGCUAACUAUACUCCCACUAGCCUUGACAUACACACAAGAUUCAUCUUCACUCCUAGAAAAGCCAAAUUCCUUGACCUUUUCAUCAAAGCAAAGAUUCCAUCUGCGAGGUGCUUGCUUCAAUCCAUAAAUGGAUUUCUCAAGCUUACACACUCUAUUAGGGUACUCGUUGCUGACAAAACCCUCUGGCUGACUCAUGUAAACAUCUUCAGCCAACUUUCCAUUAAGGAAAGCGGUUUUGACAUCCAUCUGCCAUAUUUCAUAGUCAUGAAAUGCAGCUAUGGCUAACAGAACCCGAAUAGACUUAAUCUUGGCUACCGGAGAAAAGGUCUCAUCAUAAUCCACUCCAGGAAUUUGAGAGAAGCCCUUUGCAACCAGUCUAGCCUUAUAAGUGUGUACUUUACCAUCCAUGUCGGUCUUCUUCUUGAAGACCCAUUUGCACCCUACUGUCUUACGACCUGGUACAUUUUCAACCAAGUUCCAAACUUGAUUGUCAUACAUGGAUUGUAUCUCGCUAUCCAUAGCCUCUUUCCAUUUAGCAGACUCGGGGCCUGCCAUGGCUUCCUCGUAGCUGUUAGGGUCAUCUUGACUUACUAGUGUCUCAUCACUAAUAAGUGUCUCACCUUCUGCAGUAAUAUGGAAUCCAUAGUAAUGCUCAGGUGCACUCCUAACUCUCGUGGAACGUCUCAGAGGUACAGAUUUGUCAAUUGGCUCAACAGGAGUUUCCUCCUCAAGUUGAGGGCUAGAGUUUGAAGUUCCUUCACCGCUUGAUUCUUGAAUUUCUUCAAGAUCAAUUUGCCUCCCACUGUCUCCUUGGCUUAUAAACUCUCUUUCUCGAAAGACUCCUCUUCUUGCUACAAAGACCACAUUGUCACUAGGUCUGUAGAAGAGGUAACCAAAGGAUCGCUGUGGGUAACCGAUGAAAAUACACCUCUCGCUUCGAGGUUCGAGCUUAUCAUGAGUCUCGCGUCUCACGAAAGCCUCGCAACCCCAAAUCUUGAUGUGGUCUAGUUUAGGUACUUUACCAGUCCACAUCUCGUGAGGAGUUUUGGCAACUUUCUUUGUAGGGACUAGAUUAAGAAUAUGGGCGGCAGUCUCUAAGGCAUACCCCCAGAAUGAGAUUGGUAGCGUAGCUCGACUCAUCAUGGAACGAACCAUAUCUAACAAGGUUCGAUUACGCCUCUCAGCCACACCAUUCAACUGUGGUGUCCUGGGAGGUGUCAAUUGUGAGACUAUCCCACAUUCCCUUAGAUAGUCGAGGAACUCUGAACUAAGAUACUCACCACCACGAUCGGAUCGAAGCAUCUUAAUGUUCCUGCCCAAUUGAUUCUCGACUUCCUGUUUAAAUUCCUUAAACCUCUCGAAAGUCUCUGACUUAUGCUUGAUCAAGUAGACAUAUCCAUAUCUACUAUAAUCAUCAGUAAAAGUCAAAUAAUAACGAUUAGCAUCCCUUGUGGCAUGUUUGAAUGGUCCACACACAUCCGUGUGUAUAAGGUCCAACAAACCUUCACCCCUCUCACACGAACCUGUGAAGGGUGACUUUGUCAUUUUUCCAAGUAAGCAUGAUUCGCAACUAUCAUCUGACUUUAGGUCAAACGACUCCAAGACUCCAUCCUUUUGGAGUUGGCCUAUGCGUUUCUUGCUUAUAUGUCCAAGACGACAAUGCCAUAAAGAUGCUUUAUCCAAGUUAUUAUUAGUAGAAUCAAUACACAAAACAUUAUUUCCCAAGUUAUCUACAACAGAUACAGCUUCAUACACACCAUCACAAGGUAAUGCUUUAAAAUAAAAGACAUUAUUAUAGAAAACAUCUAUAGAACCAACUUCAUUAUUAAAUGAAAAGGUAAACCCUUGUUUGUACAAAGCAUGAAAGGAAAUAAUAUUUCUUGCCAUUCCUGGCGAAUAACAACACUUAUUCAAAUCUAAACUAAACCCACUACUUAGCGAUAAAGUAUAAACUCCAAUCUUGGUAACAGGUAUAGCUUUCCUAUUCCCCAUGAUCAAGUUUAUCCUUCCUUGCUCCACAUCCUCACUUCUUCUUAGUCCCUGCAAGUCACAACAAAUGUGAAUACCACACCCGGUAUCAAGGACCCAAGAAUUAGAAUGGGGUGAGUUAUUAGAAAUGAUAGUGUAAAUACCUGCAUGGUUGGGUUUAACUUUCCCAUCCUUCACAUCUUGCUGGUAUUUUGGGCAGUUCCGCUUCCAAUGAGCUUUUUCAUGGCAAUAGAAGCAUUCAGCCUCUUUUGGGUCAGAAGAAGGAGUAACGAAACCUUUCUUGGUUCCACUUGAAGAAGAGCCAUCAAGGGUCCGAGCCUUGGUACCCUUAGAAGAGCUCUUUCUCUUCCUCCCUCGACUUUUCCCGAUUGCCAAAACCGGAGUAGAGUUUUGAGUAGGAGUGAUAGCAACCGACUUCCCCUUAAGACCUGUUUCUGCGGUCUUGAGAAGUCCCUGAAGUUUGCUGAGGGUGACUUCUUCCUUGUUCAUGUGAUAUGUCAUGCGGAAUUGAUCAUAGCACGAUGGUAAGGAAUGCAAAAUAAUAUCUAUUGCAAGAUCCUCCGGGAAGUUCACAUUAAGCUUCAGCAAACGAUCCACAUACCUUUGCAUUUUCUGCAUGUGGCUCGUGACGGAUUCCCCGUCCUUCAUCAUGGUUGUUAUCAUGGAGCAGAUGAUUUCAUACCUCUCUUGUCUUGCACUUUGAUGGUAUCUUUCCAUCAAAUCUUGGUGCAUGUCAUAAGGGUAGAAAUCCUCAUAAGACUUUUGGAGUUCCGCUGUCAUCGUGGCCAUCAUGAUGCAAGCCACUUUCGUAGCAUCCCUUUCAUGUGCCCGAAAUUCAGCGAUCUCCUGAGGAGUUGCAGUGGACUCAUCAAUCUCCUUAAGCUCCUUGUCAAGGACAUAUUCUUUGUCCUCGUAGCGGGUAAUCAUCCUGAUGUUUCUGAUCCACUCAUUGAAGUUGGAUCCAUCAAAGGUGACUUUCCCACACAAGUUCAUAAGGGUAAAGGAGCCAUUAGGAUUAGAGCCAGAAGCAUUGUUGAAAGACAUCUGAAGGAAAGAGGACAAGAUUAGUUUAGAUAUAAGAGAGUCCUUAAUAAAACACCCAAAUGUAAUAUUAAGGCUAGGAUCCAAUCACAAUAUAAUAUAACUUAGAAGAGGUAUGCCGUAAUCUAAGCUAUAUCAUAUUUGAAAGGUAGGUGAAUGACGAUUCACCAAUUUCCACCACGAAAACCGCAAUAUUUUAGUAUUAGGUUUUUGAAUGGUUCUUAGAAAUUCCUAGAUUCUUUGAGAUUCAAUGAACUUUUCAAAGGCAUGUUUCAAUCUCGAGUGUGCCCUCCAAGUUUUGUGACUGGGAUACCGAGGAUCACAAAACGAGGUGUGAAGUAACCAUGCAAAUCACUUGGUACCCUUAAAGUUUAUCACUCAAUCGAUGUGCCGGUUAACCACACACGCUCCAUCGAUACUAUAAUAAACCCUAAGUCACCCUUUACCUACCUUGUUAAGUCCAAGUUAGUGUGCCGGUUAACCACACACGCUCCACCAACGACUUAAUCAAAGUGUAAAGUGUAAUUUCAUGGAAUAGCACCUUAUUCACAUUUUUCCUAAAGUAACUAAGAUUGGGAAUUUAAUAAAACAUUUAGUUACUUUAUAAUAUUCAUCAUACUUUGAAUGAGAAUUAAUAAGUCCUUGUCUUACCCGUUCGGCUAACGACCCUCCACCGAUCAAGCAAGCGGUGGGUGAGAGUGGACACCCAUUAAGUCACCAUUUUAUAGGCAACAACCUUAUACCCACCUUAUAGACCGGCUUCGUGAAUGAGGCGUACUAGCGGUAAGACGACUUUGUUCUUAUACAUAUAUAUAUAAUUAUUAAAUCAUAAUAAUAUAAGUAUAAGGGUUGAAUUUUAACUUUUAAAAUUCUAAGGGUUGGAACUAAAGUUUUUAACAUGACUUUACUUGUUCCAAAACUUGAGGGCAAGUUUUGUAAACUUUCAAAACUUUUCAUUUCUUGUAACUUAUGAGUUUAUUAGAGUAAUAAAAUGAAGACUCUUCAUUUUUCUAAUUCUUGUGUUCUUUUAAUGGUUUUAACUCAAGUGACUUUUGGUUUUCCAUAACUUGAGGACAAGUUAUGGACUCCAUUAAAACACAUUAUGAUCAAGAAUUAAACUACCACAUAGGUUACAAAUAAUUCCUAUGAUCAUCUAAACAUCAUAAGAUCAAGAACAUGAACAUGAACACUUUCAUGAAUCAAAACUACACUUAAAACUUUGUAAUUUUGAUAACUAGUUGUUGUAAAUGGAUUAGCAAAGACAUUACACCAUCUAAAACAAGUUUUCAAGUACCAAAACAGUUUAGGGUAAUGUUUCUAGUCCAUUUCCAGCAACUAAAGUCGAAAAUCUGCACUCUGUGGCUCCUACUCGCCGAGUGCAUGAACCUACUCGGCGAGCAGGUUGAAGAUACAAGUGAUCUCGGCGAGUCUCCCCAUGGACUCCGCGAGUUCAUCAGGCAGACAGCAAGUUUUUCGACUUUUUUCAACGUUUAAGCACAAAUAACAAACAAACAAGCCUAGGCUCUGAUACCACUGAUGGGUUUUGAGCAUUCUAACACUUCCUAAGUGUACAUGCAACCCUAAUAACCUUGGAUCUAUGUUUGUCUAAUUAUCAUGCAAAGUUGAAUUCCAAGGUUAUAUUCCUAUCUAGCAUACAUGGGGAACAAUUUUUAACUUGAAUGAAAGAUAGAAUAACUUACCUUGUUGUUGCUUAUGUUCCUUGAAACCUUGUGAGCCUAGCACCCCAAGUGUGAUGCCUCAAAUGCUUCACACAACACCAAAUGCUCUUGGAAAGACUUUGAGAGAAUACACACUUCUUAAAAUCGGCCUAGCCCUCUAGUUUCUUAUGUUUAGCCGAUUUUGUGGAGAAUGGGAUUCUUAUAUAGUGUUGACACAUCUAGGGUUACACCAUGUAAACCCUAAUGUGUCAUGACUCUUCAUUUCCAUGACCCAUGGGUUUGUAACUCCCAUGGAGCAUCCUAUGGGUAGAACCCAACUUGGUAAUCCAUGGAGCCUCUUAGCCCACUAUACAAGAUAUGAAUGAUUUACAUAAUCAACCCAUAUAUUUAAUUAGUUAUCUUUUGAUCACUUAAUUAAUUCCAAAUUAAUUCUUUGAUCAAACUAAUCAAAUAAUAUUAUUAAUAUAUUAGAACUUAUAAUAUAUUAAUAAUCUCCAAGUGUUAUUCCUCUCAUUUAGUCUAUCCAAUUGCAUGGUGCCAUGCAACCCAAAUGGACCAUGCCGGGUUGGGUCAAGUACUGACCAGAAAUAGUUAUGGACUUAGACACCUUAUCCAACAGUGUAAGCUUUCCAUAAACCAAGAUAGUAUUGUUAAUCCUUGAGUGAGCUAUUAUAACCACGCUUAAUGUGACUAUUAUGCCUUUACGACAUUCUUCAGGCAUCAGAAUCGGUAAGAUAUUUGUCAUCCUAGACUGGCCCGUCUAGCUAUAAUGAACAACUCAUAUGUGGGGUUGUCAAUCCCGUAUAGAUCUAUACACAACUAUCUCGCUCUCCCUCCACGAGACUCUGGUUAUAAUGCAGGACUUAAAUUGUACGCUAGGUAGGUAUGGUGAAGUGAAUGUCUCACUAGAGCAUUAACAGAUUUACGUGGACUAUGACUCCCUUUUUCUUGUAUUAUG